UUUUCAGCUUCAUCCAAGUCCAUGAAGAUGUCCUCAUUCCAAGUCUUGGGGACACUUUCCAAAUUCUCACCCUAACUUUCGCUGGGAAAUGUGGGCUAUGAAAUGUAUCUAAAUCUCAUUUAGAUCAGGGGGUUCUUUAUUACAAUAAAUAAUUUGAAUAUCAGUGUCAUUCCAUCCCAUGGAUUACCAGCAUCCCAUUUCAUGACAAAGAGCUCAACAUUUCAUUCAAGUCUAAAGACAAACCCAAACACCUCAAAAAUUCCAUCUUUGAGAGUCUGUUUCCUGGGACUCCUGAUCCCAAUUU
rnacentral:lncRNA from 1 species